UUGACCUCAGCUCAGUCGUGAUUACCCGCUGAAUUUAAGCAUAUAACUAAGCGGAGGAAAAGAAACUAACGAGGACUCCCCCAGUAACGGCGAGUGAACGGGGAAAAGCCCAGCGCUGAAUCCAUUAGUCACUGGCUAUAUGGAAUUGUAGCGUAUAGGUGUAACUAUUCGGUUGUUUCGUUCACCCAAAGUCCCCUUGAGCGGGGCUAUAGUC
rnacentral:rRNA from 1 species